rnacentral:rRNA from 1 species
AGUGAACGCUGGCGGUAGGCCUAACACAUGCAAGUCGAACGGCAGCACAGUAAGAGCUUGCUCUUACGGGUGGCGAGUGGCGGACGGGUGAGGAAUACAUCGGAAUCUACUUUUUCGUGGGGGAUAACGUAGGGAAACUUACGCUAAUACCGCAUACGACCUACGGGUGAAAGCAGGGGAUCUUCGGACCUUGCGCGAUUGAAUGAGCCGAUGUCGGAUUAGCUAGUUGGCGGGGUAAAGGCCCACCAAGGCGACGAUCCGUAGCUGGUCUGAGAGGAUGAUCAGCCACACUGGGACUGAGACACGGUCCAGACUCCUACGGGAGGCAGCAGUGGGGAAUAUUGGACAAUGGGCGCAAGCCUGAUCCAGCCAUACCGCGUGGGUGAAGAAGGCCUUCGGGUUGUAAAGCCCUUUUGUUGGGAAAGAAAAGCAGCAGGUUAAUACCCCGCUGUUCUGACGGUACUCAAAGAAUAAGCACCGGCUAACUUCGUG